CAUGUGCCAAAUGGGCAGAAUAAUAUCCAUUUCUGAAGGCAAAUGACAAUUACCCAAGAUAACAUUGUAUUUCCGGUUGUCUUACCCGAAAGACAUCCUUUGCAGGUCUAUAAAAGAAACGGUUGGGCCAAGCAGUUCAAUAAACAACACAUUCAUCUCAAGAUUUAAAGAUAGCCUUUUGAAUUUCAAUGAGACGUGCAGUUGUAGUGGUUCUGCUGUGCAUACUAUGUGUGGCACAGAUUGAGAGCCAAAAUAAUGCCAAUACUCUGCGGUUGUGCGGGCGAGCGUUUGUGCGGGCGCUGGUUUACACAUGUGGAGGCUCCAGGUGGAAGAGACUGAUGACAGAGGAGGGUGCUCUGCUUGGAGAGACCACAGCAGCAAAUCCUUUAAGCACAGAAGUUUUGAGGCCUAUGAAUCGCCAAUGGAGGGACCACCACCAGGCCUUAGCAACAGAGUGCUGCGAUGUAGGAUGUCAAAAGAGUGACCUAACUUUACUCUGCUGAGGGAGCACAUCCCAGUUAGCUUUAAGGAUCACAAAUUUGUUUGUUAAAUGUAAUUUUAUAUCUUUAGUUAGUAAAAACAUAAAAUCA